rnacentral:tRNA from 1 species
GCGCCCGUAGCUCAGUUGGAUAGAGCGGUUGCCUCCGAAGCAACAGGCCGGGAGUUCGAGUCUCUCCGGGCGCGCCA